rnacentral:rRNA from 1 species
ACGCCGCGUGAGUGAUGAAGGUUUUCGGAUCGUAAAACUCUGUUGUCAGGGAAGAACAAGUGCGAGAGUAACUGCUCGCACCUUGACGGUACCUGGCCAGAAAGCCACGGCUAACUACGUGCCAGCAGCCGCGGUAAUACGUAGGUGGCAAGCGUUGUCCGGAAUUAUUGGGCGUAAAGCGCGCGCAGGCGGUUUCUUAAGUCUGAUGUGAAAGCCCCCGGCUCAACCGGGGAGGGUCAUUGGAAACUGGGAAACUUGAGUGCAGAAGAGGAGAGUGGAAUUCCACGUGUAGCGGUGAAAUGCGUAGAGAUGUGGAGGAACACCAGUGGCGAAGGCGACUCUCUGGUCUGUAACUGACGCUGAGGCGCGAAAGCGUGGGGAGCAAACAGGAUUAGAUACCCUGGUAGUCCACGCCGUAAACGAUGAGUGCUAAGUGUUAGA